rnacentral:rRNA from 1 species
GACGAACGCUGGCGGCGUGCUUAACACAUGCAAGUCGAACGGAAAGGCCCUGCUUUUGUGGGGUGCUCGAGUGGCGGACGGGUGAGUAACACGUGAGUAACCUGCCCUUGACUUUGGGAUAACUUCAGGAAACUGGGGCUAAUACCGGAUAGGAGCUCCUGCUGCAUGGUGUGGGUUGGAAAGUUUCGGCGGUUGGGGAUGGACUCGCGGCUUAGCAGCUUGUUGGUGGGGUAGUGGCUUACCAAGGCUUUGACGGGUAGCCGGCCUGAGAGGGUGACCGGCCACAUUGGGACUGAGAUACGGCCAAGACUGCUACGGGAGGCAGCAGUGGGAAAUAUUGCGCGAUGGGCGGAAGCCUGAUGCAGCAACGCCGGGUGCGGGAGGACGGCCGUCGGGGUGUAAACCGCUUUCGCCUGGGACGAAGCGUGAGUGACGGUAAUGGGUAAAGAAGCAACGGCUAACUACGUG